rnacentral:rRNA from 1 species
AUUGAACGCUGGCGGCAUGCCUUACACAUGCAAGUCGAACGGUAACAGGUCUUCGGAUGCUGACGAGUGGCGAACGGGUGAGUAAUACAUCGGAACGUGCCCGAUCGUGGGGAAUAACGAAGCGAAAGCUUUGCUAAUACCGCAUAAGAUCUACGGAUGAAAGCAGGGGCCCGCAAGGCCUUGCGCGAACGGAGCGGCCGAUGGCAGAUUAGGUAGUUGGUGGGAUAAAAGCUUACCAAGCCGACGAUCUGUAGCUGGUCUGAGAGGACGACCAGCCACACUGGGACUGAGACACGGCCCAGACUCCUACGGGAGGCAGCAGUGGGGAAUUUUGGACAAUGGGCGAAAGCCUGAUCCAGCCAUGCCGCGUGCAGGAUGAAGGCCUUCGGGUUGUAAACUGCUUUUGUACGGAACGAAAAGACUCUUUCUAAUAAAGAGGGUCCAUGACGGUACCGUAAGAAUAAGCACCGGCUAACUACGUGCCAGCCGCCGCCGUAAAAC